GGGCGAUUAGCUCAGUUUGGUAGAGCACCUCCCUUACAAGGAGGGGGUCAUCAGUUCAAGUCUGGUAUCGCCCA
rnacentral:tRNA from 1 species